rnacentral:misc_RNA from 1 species
CGAACUUGACCAUGUUGUAGAAGAGCUUGAGAAAAUUGCUGUAGUCAAUCUCCUUCAGCAUAGAUCAAUUAUAUCUCUCAUUGGGAAUGUUCAGAGGUCAUCAUUGAUAUUAGAGAAGGUAUUUAAUGUUCUUCGAACCAAUGGUGUCAAUGUUCAGAUGAUAUCGCAAGGUGCAUCUAAGGUCAAUAUAUCAUUAAUAGUGAAUGACAACGAAGCAGAACAGUGUGUGAGGUCUCUCCACAAAACAUUCUUUGAAAGCAACAUUUCUGAAAUAGAUUAAGAAUGUCAUCUUUAUCUGAUGAUACACUUAUUGUUAUCUCAUUGAUCCCAUUAGCAUGGAGCCCUCAAAGAUUACCAAUAUUUUGCAAUACAAUUAUAUUUUUUUUGAAGGCUUAGAGAAAUCUAUCUUGCCAAAUCAGGAUGUACCUAUGUAGCUUCAUUGUAUUUUUUAGUAAUUGAAAUUUCCAACUGUAAUGUCCUAGCCCAGGAAUGGAUGAUAAAAUGUUAGUCUCAUACUACCAAGUUGUACUUGGUACUUCUUACAGUGAUGCUGC